ACGACGUGCGGCGUGCUAUACAUGCAAGUCGAGCGGACAGAUGGGAGCUUGCUCCCUGAUGUUAGCGGCGGACGGGUGAGUAACACGUGGGUAACCUGCCUGUAAGACUGGGAUAACUCCGGGAAACCGGGGCUAAUACCGGAUGGUUGUUUGAACCGCAUGGUUCAAACAUAAAAGGUGGCUUCGGCUACCACUUACAGAUGGACCCGCGGCGCAUUAGCUAGUUGGUGAGGUAACGGCUCACCAAGGCGACGAUGCGUAGCCGACCUGAGAGGGUGAUCGGCCACACUGGGACUGAGACACGGCCCAGACUCCUACGGGGGGGCAGCAGUAA
rnacentral:rRNA from 1 species